UCAGGAAAUAAUUAAUGUUUUAGCCAAUGAGAAGAGGCAACGGAUAUCACGUGAUCGACUGCUAUUAAAUGGGAAGGACUUUCUGCUCUGCGUCACGCUGAUUCACAGCUUAAGGAUUUAUAAAGAGAGCCAUAAUGUAAAAAAAGGAAGACCAGGAUGCAGCCCAUUGAUGAUGCAACAUUAUGUAGAAGGUCAUCGAUGGACAAGCUAUGGCUAAUGGAAAAAUUCAUUGAUGUCAAUAAAGGUGACAAACAAGCGGGCUUCUCCUGUGGUCAAAGAGCCUGAGAAUUCCAAUCACUAUUCAAACAGACACGAUGGUACAACACGGGUUAUUACUGUCAGAGGGGUUUCCAUUGUGGAUUAUUUAAACUCUGGUGAAUCAAGUAUGGAUAGUCUAAAAGAGCAAGCUCUGACUCAACACCAUGAUGAAGAAUUUGAACUGUAAUGUGCUCUGGAGGUGAAUUUUUACACCAGUGAUUUUUACACCAAGUUUUGUCAAAAUAAACUGUUAAUGGUGUUUCUCCA